AGGGCUGCCAUUCUGGUCCCGCCACUGCUUCUUCCUCUGAAAGCAAUUUAGAGGAGAGCCAAGAAGAACAGAGCCUACCCCUUUAAUUAGCCUGCGGAGCCAGGCAAGGAUAAAAUCCUGACUCCUGUAGUUCGUGUGUAGGGUGACUAUAUGACUGAUAUUCAAACUGGGAUGGCUGUGAAUACGAAUGUAAGGAAAACAGAUGCAAGGGGGACUGCCACGGGAAAACCAAGAUGUAUCCACGAGACCCUGCUAGAUCUGGCUGCAGCCCCAACCCUCCCUGUCCCCAUCUGCCCACCUUGCUCCAGAUUAGACAUUUCUGGACCUGGCAACGGAACCUCUUUUAGGGCUGAAACUAAAGACAACAAUGAUUCUGACCCAGGAGCCUGGGCUCUAAACUCCUUGGGAAGUGAGCCCACUUUCCACACGGACAAACGAACGGCAGCUCAUGAACAAAGAGGCACAGGAAGAGGGAAGGGGGUCAGGGAAGGUGACAUUUCCUGAGUGCCCACACAAGGCCUGGAUCGCCACAUGCUUCAAUUCAUUUAUGAACAGCCACUAGAGGAACACGGUGACACUGAGGUGGAGAGAAAGAAACGAGCGUUUUGGCAGUGGAUGGGGUCUGGGGGUGAGUAGGCAAUGGAUAUAUUUGUAUGUAUGUAUGGUGUGCUUAUUGUUUAACAUUAAAUACAGAUUUAUCAAGCACUCUUCUACAUGCUACGUGCCCAAAGAGGUGUAAGCCACAGUCUGAGCUCUCAAGGAGGCAAAUGGUAUAAAGAAACAUACCCUAAGUUAAAUA